rnacentral:rRNA from 1 species
AGCAGCCGCGGUAAUUCCAGCUCCAAUAGCGUAUAUUAAAGUUGUUGCAGUUAAAAAGCUCGUAGUUGAAUUUCGGGAUUAGUACGCUGGUCGUGCCUUAGGUAUGCACUGGUGUUACUGGUUCCUACCUUCUGACGAACCGUCAUGUCAUUAAUUUGGUGUGGCGGGGAAUCAGGACUGUUACUUUGAAAAAUUAGAGUGUUUAAAGCAGGCUCGCGCUUGAAUACAUUAGCAUGGAAUAAUGAAAUAGGACGUUCGAUCCUAUUUUGUUGGUUUCUAGGAUUGACGUAAUGAUUAAUAGGGAUAGUUGGGGGCAUUAGUAUUCAAUUGUCAGAGGUGAAAUUCUUGGAUUUAUUGAAGACUAACUACUGCGAAAGCAUUUGCCAAGGAUGUUUUCAUUAAUCAAGAACGAAAGUUAGGGGAUCGAAGACGAUCAGAUACCGUCGUAGUCUUAACCAUAAACUAUGCCGACUAGGGAUCGGAUGA